AGUUCAUGGUUUUUGGUGAUCAGAAAAAAGAGGUAAAUGUUUCGUUCCAUAUAGAUGGAGUUCUUAUUGAGAGAGUGUCAGAAUUCAGGUUCUUAGGUGUAAUAAUAGAUGACAAACUGACAUGGAAACGUCAUAUAGUUCAGGUAAAAUCAAAGGUGUGUAAAAAAAACACAAGCUUCAUCUUCUACCUGCUCCCCUGAACUACAUUUGUUCAAUGACUUUUGUAUUUAUGGAAAUGCUUAAAGAUGGCCACGAGCCGAACAAAUCAAAACAAAUCAAAACAAAUCAAAACAAAUCAAAUGAAUAAUAUUAUAUUAUAUUAUAUCACGUCAUCAUAUCCUACAGUAGUCUGCUGUAUCAGGACGUCCUAUCCUGACUCUUCAUGUUAGCUCUAAUAUUAUGAUGUUUCAUAUCUUAUAAUGUAUAAACGACAGACAGUGUCGUGUUGUUGUAUCUUAUCUCAGUGUCGUACUGCUCAUGUGCGGUUCUAUCAUCUCUUGUGCAGCAUUGCGUCAUUACACAACAUAUAUUAAAACAAAAACACUAUAAACAGAGAGGAAACUCUUUUUAUUCUUUAUAUUUGAUCAC